CAUUUAACUAUACUAUCAAUCUUGUCAUUAUAUACACCAUUGAUUAACUACUUAAGAUCAGUUAUCAUAGAACAAAGUCCCUGUCAUUACUCAGCAGCAGAGAUGAAUGACCAAAGAGAAGACUACGAAGAACUGAAUUCUGUUAAGGACCCAAGAAGAUGUCAAAUGAAAGAUUUGCCAUCACCUCCGGAGAAGCUCAUUGCUCUGAUCCUGGGAGUCAUCUGCUUUAUCUUGAUGUAUAUUGUAGUAAAAAUGAUGCUCUUCGUUCCCUCUACUGUAAUCCUGGAGCAGAACGAUUCAUCCCUGAUAGCAAAGAACCAGAAAG